rnacentral:rRNA from 1 species
GGCAGGCCUAACACAUGCAAGUCGAGCGGGCCCUUCGGGGUCAGCGGCGGACGGGUGAGUAACGCGUGGGAACGUGCCUUCUGGUUCGGAAUAACCCUGGGAAACUAGGGCUAAUACCGGAUACGCCCUUUUGGGGAAAGGUUUACUGCCGGAAGAUCGGCCCGCGUCUGAUUAGCUAGUUGGUGGGGUAACGGCCUACCAAGGCGACGAUCAGUAGCUGGUCUGAGAGGAUGAUCAGCCACACUGGGACUGAGACACGGCCCAGACUCCUACGGGAGGCAGCAGUGGGGAAUAUUGGACAAUGGGCGCAAGCCUGAUCCAGCCAUGCCGCGUGAGUGAUGAAGGCCUUAGGGUUGUAAAGCUCUUUUAUCCGGGACGAUAAUGACGGUAC